GGCUAUUAGCUCAGGUGGUUAGAGCGCACCCCUGAUAAGGGUGAGGUCCCUGGUUCAAGUCCAGGAUGGCCCACCUAAAAAAUGUGGGGGUAUAGCUCAGUUGGUAGAGCGCUGCCUUUGCAAGGCAGAUGUCAGCGGUUCGAGUCCGCUUACCUCCACUGAAAAUAUUCCUAGAACAAAUCAGCACUACGGCUUUCGCGUGAAAGAAAGAGUAAAUGCUGGAAAAAGUUCCAGCCAGAACCUUGAAAACUGCAUAGAAGAAUCAAAAGGGAUCAAAAAAUGAAACCAAAACCGGGAAUAAAAAACCCGGAAAAGUU
rnacentral:tRNA from 320 species